UAGUCAAAAAAUACUUCGCAUAAAUUGACCCGCUGGACGAAAAGAAUAAAAGAGUCCAGGCAAAAAAGGGCAUCCCGGCGAACCAAGAAAAAAAGAAAAAGGUUCGGGCAAAAGUUAGGGAUAAAGUAGUCAAAAAAUACUUCGCAUAAAUUGACCCGCUGGACGAAAAGAAUAAAAGAGUCCAGGCAAAAAAGGGCAUCCCGGCGAACCAAGAAAAAAAGAAAAAGGUUCGGGCAAAAGUUAGGGAUAAAGAAU
rnacentral:lncRNA from 1 species